UAGGGAGUUUUCGGCAAUGGGGGCAACCCUGACCGAGCAACGCCGCGUGAGUGAUGAAGGUCUUCGGAUUGUAAAACUCUGUUGUGGAGGACGAAUGGUAGGGAUAGGCAAUGAUCUCUAUUUGACAGUACUUCAUUAGAAAGCCAUGGCUAACUAUGUGCCAGCAGCCGCGGUAAUACAUAGGUGGCAAGCGUUAUCCGGAAUUAUUGGGCGUAAAGAGUGAGUAGGUGGCCAUUUAAGUCACAAGUCAAAUGCAGUAGCUCAACUACUGUUCGCUUGUGAUACUGAAAGGCUAGAGUGCGAGAGGGGUAAGUGGAAUUCCAUGUGUAGCGGUGAAAUGCGUAGAUAUAUGGAGGAACACCAGUGGCGAAGGCGGCUUACUGGC
rnacentral:rRNA from 1 species